AUUCUCAGAAUAUUACUUGAAUACGUUCUCUGUUUUACUCCCUUUUUUUUUUACUCACAAAGAAUGUCACACUGCAGUAUCGAAUUGCUUUAUUUGUUCCUUUGGAAUAAAAAGGUAGAUUUCCUUUUAUUACAGCAAAAGAUAACAAGACUAAUAAUUAAGCGGCUUUGUUUUUACCAGGAAUUGCAUUUUAUGACACUACGCAAAAUUAGAAAUGUAAAAAAGCGCUUUCGAAAAUUUCCUUUUACACUUUCAUUAUCAGGAUUGACAACCCUAUGAAUUCCUCCGUUAAAACUUCUCACCAGC